rnacentral:rRNA from 1 species
UACGUAGGGUGCGAGCGUUAAUCGGAAUUACUGGGCGUAAAGCGUGCGCAGGCGGUUUUGUAAGCCAGAUGUGAAAGCCCCGGGCUUAACCUGGGAAUGGCAUUUGGGACUGCAAGGCUAGAGUGCGGCAGAGGAGACUGGAAUUCCUGGUGUAGCAGUGAAAUGCGUAGAUAUCAGGAGGAACACCGAUGGCGAAGGCAGGUCUCUGGGCAUUAACUGACGCUGAGGAGCGAAAGCAUGGGGAGCGAACAGG